rnacentral:rRNA from 1 species
CUUUAGUGCUUAAAACCUGUCCUGCUAUAAAAACUGUUUAGCUAGAGUAAGAUAGAGGCAAGUGGAAUUCCAUGUGUAGUGGUAAAAUGCGUAAAUAUAUGGAGGAACACCAGUAGCGAAGGCGGCUUGCUGGGUCUUUACUGACGCUGAGGCACGAAAGCGUGGGGAGCAAACAGGAUUAGAUACCCUGGUAGUCCACGCCGUAAACGAUGAGUACUAAACGUUGGGUAAAACCAGUGUUGAAGUUAACACAUUAAGUACUCCGCCUGAGUAGUACGUACGCAAGUAUGAAACUUAAAGGAAUUGACGGGACUCCGCACAAGCGGUGGAUCAUGUUGUUUAAUUCGAAGGUACCCGAAAAACCUCACCAGGUCUUGACAUGCUUCUGCAAAGCUGUAGAAACACAGUGGAGGUUAUCAGUUGCACAGGUGGUGCAUGGUUGUCGUCAGCUCGUGUCGUGAGAUGUUGGGUUAAGUCCCAAAACGAGCGAACCCCCUUGUCAAA